rnacentral:lncRNA from 1 species
UUUUUUACAAAGAUUACAAAUUCUAUCCAUUGCCUGAAGUCCCCUGUAUCUACCUCUCUCUAUUUCUAAAUCAUGAUUACUAAUUCUGAAUUUUGUCAUCUGAAUUCUCAGAUUCCUAUUACCUAUAGCCAAAUAAGGUUCAAAAUAUAUAUUUCUCUUAAAAAGUCUGUAUGUUUUGAGUUUAUUUCCAAAUGACAUAUUUUUUCUGUCAUCGUUUAAAGAUGAAUACCACAACUUAUUAUACUUUAAUUUAAGUUUGUGUAAAAUAAAUCUUU